GGUAGUUCAGUUGGUUAGAAUACCGGCCUGUCACGCCGGGGGUCGCGGGUUCGAGCC
rnacentral:tRNA from 1 species